GGGGUUUCAACUGGAUAGAACGUUGGCCUCCGAAGCCAAAGGUUCUGCGUUCGAAUCGCAGCGGGAUCG
rnacentral:tRNA from 1 species